rnacentral:rRNA from 1 species
UACGUAGGGUGCGAGCGUUAAUCGGAAUUACUGGGCGUAAAGCGUGCGUAGGCGGUUUUUUAAGUCAGGUGUGAAAGCCCCGGGCUUAACCUGGGAAUGGCAUUUGGGACUGCAAGGCUUGAGUGCGGCAGAGGGGACUGGAAUUCCUGGUGUAGCAGUGAAAUGCGUAGAUAUCAGGAGGAAUACCGAUGGCGAAGGCAGGUCUCUGGGCUGACACUGACGCUCAUGCACGAAAGCGUGGGGAGCAAACAGG